UUCAAAAGGUAGAUUUUCCUUCUGUGGUUACAUGCUUGCUAGCUAAUCACAGAGGAGAAUCCGCAUUUUCAG
rfam:Camelus ferus unplaced genomic scaffold scaffold726, whole genome shotgun sequence.